rnacentral:rRNA from 1 species
UACGUAGGUGGCAAGCGUUGUCCGGAUUUAUUGGGUUUAAAGGGUGCGUAGGCGGCCUUGUAAGUCAGUGGUGAAAUACUCUAGCUUAACUAGAGGGGUGCCAAUGAUACUGCAGGGCUUGAGUACAGAUGAGGUAGGCGGAAUUGACGGUGUAGCGGUGAAAUGCAUAGAUAUCGUCAAGAACACCGAUAGCGAAGGCAGCUUACUGGGCUGUAACUGACGCUGAGGCACGAAAGUGUGGGGAUCAAACAGG